rnacentral:rRNA from 1 species
UACGGAGGAUGCGAGCGUUAUCCGGAUUUAUUGGGUUUAAAGGGUGCGUAGGCUGGUAAUUAAGUCAGUGGUGAAAUACUCCGGCUCAACCGGGGGGCUGCCGUUGAUACUGGUUACCUUGAGUUUAGAUGAUGUGGGCGGAAUGUGUCAUGUAGCGGUGAAAUGCAUAGAGAUGACACAGAACACCGAUAGCGAAGGCAGCUCACAAAGCUAUUACUGACGCUGAUGCACGAAAGCGUGGGGAUCGAACAGGA